rnacentral:rRNA from 1 species
CCAUGCAUGUCUAAGUACAUGCCGUAUUAAGGCGAAACCGCGAAUGGCUCAUUAAAUCAGUUAUGGUUCCUUGGAUCGUACCUUACUACUUGGAUAACUGUGGCAAUUCUAGAGCUAAUACAUGCAGCAGAGCUCCGACCUUCGGGGACGAGCGCUUUUAUUAGACCAAAACCAAUCGGACCUCGUGUCCGUUUCUGGUGGUGACUCUGUAUAACUUUGGGCUGAUCGCACGGGCCUGUCCCGGCGACGUAUCUUUCAAGUGUCUGCCUUAUCAACUUUCGAUGGUAGGUUACGCGCCUACCAUGGUCGUAACGGGUAACGGGGAAUCAGGUAGCUCCAAUAGCGUAUAUUAAAGUUGUUGCGGUUAAAAAGCUCGUAGUUGGAUCUCAGUUCCAGACGGGUGGUCCGCCUACCGGUGGUUACUGCCUGUUCUGAACAGCCAGCCGGUUUCUCUUGAUGAUCUUCACCGGUUGUCUUGGGUGACCGGCAAGUUUACUUUGAAAAAAUUAGAGUGCUCAAAGCAGGCGUGACGCCUGAAUAAUGGUGCAUGGAAUAAUGGAAUAGGACCUCGGUUCUAUUUUGUUGGUUUUCGGAACACGAGGUAAUGAUUAAGAGGGACAGACGGGGGCAUUCGUAUUGCGACGCUAGAGGUGAAAUUCUUGGACCGUCGCAAGACGAACUACUGCGAAAGCAUUUGCCAAGAAUGUUUCCAUUAAUCAAGAACGAAAGUUAGAGGUUCGAAGGCGAUCAGAUACCGCCCUAGUUCUAACCAUAAACGAUGCCAGCCAGCGAUCCGGCUGUGUUCCUCAAAUGACACGCCGGGCAGCUUCCGGGAAACCAAAGCUUUUGGGUUCCGGGGGAAGUAUGGUUGCAAAGCUGAAACUUAAAGGAAUUGACGGAGGGGCACCACCAGGAAUGGAGCCUGCGGCUUAAUUUGACUCAACACGGGAAAACUUACCCGGCCCGGACGCAGGAAGGAUUGACAGAUUAAGAGCUCUUUCUUGAUUCUGCGGGGUGUGGUGCAUGGCCGUUCUUAGUUGGUGGAUCGAUUUGUCUGGUUAAUUCCGUUAACGAACGAGACUCUAGCCUACUAAAUAGACGUUCCGAUCAUCUAAGUCGGACGUCCUUCUUAGAGGGACAAGCGGCGUCUAGCCGCACGAGACAGAGCAAUAACAGGUCUGUGAUGCCCUUAGAUGUCCGGGGCCGCACGCGCGCUACAUUGAAGGAAUCAUCGUGUGCUUUCCCUGUCCGAAAGGAUUGGGUAACCCGUUGAACCUCCUUCGUGCUGGGGAUAGGGGCUUGUAACUGUUCCCCUUGAACGAGGAAUUCCCAGUAAGCACGAGUCAUCAGCUCGUGUUGAUUACGUCCCUGCCCCUUGUACACACCGCCCGUCGCUACUACCGAUUGAAUAAUUUAGUGAGGUCUUCGGACUGGCGCUCGGAGCGGCCCUCCAGGGUCGCGCCGGUGCAUCGGAAAGAUGACCAAACUUGAUUAUUUAGAGGAAGUAAAAGUCGUAACAAGGUUUCC